GCCGGCGACCAUACCACGUUGAAGGCAUCGGUUCUCGUCCGGUCACCGCAGUUAAGCAACGUCGGGCCCGGUCAGUAUUUGUAUGCGUAACCGGCUGGGAAUGCCGGUUGUUGCCAGCC
rnacentral:rRNA from 1 species